CCUACGGGAGGCAGCAGUAAGGAAUAUUGGUCAAUGGACGGAAGUCUGAACCAGCCAUGCCGCGUGCAGGAAGACGGCCUACGGGUUGUAAACUGCUUUUAUACCGGAAUAUGUACGGUAGGAAUAAGGAUCGGCUAACUCCGUGCCAGCAGCCGCGGUAAUACGGAGGAUCCAAGCGUUAUCCGGAUUUAUUGGGUUUAAAGGGUGCGUAGGCGGCCUUGUAAGUCAGGGGUGAAAGACGGCAGCUUAACUGUCGCAGUGCCUUUGAUACUGCAGGGCUUGAAUACACUUGAAGUGGGCGGAAUGUGACAAGUAGCGGUGAAAUGCAUAGAUAUGUCACAGAACACCGAUUGCGAAGGCAGCUCACUAAUGUGAUUGACGCUGAGGCACGAAAGCGUGGGGAUCAAACAGGAUUAGAUACCCUUGUAGUC
rnacentral:rRNA from 1 species